ACUCCUACGGGAGGCAGCAGUGGGGAAUAUUGGACAAUGGGGGAAACCCUGAUCCAGCAAUGCCGCGUGUGUGAAGAAGGCCUGAGGGUUGUAAAGCACUUUCAACUGUGAGGAUUGGGAUUUUGGUUAAUACCCGAGAUCCUUGACGUUAGCAGUAGAAGAAGCACCGGCUAACUCCGUGCCAGCAGCCGCGGUAAUACGGAGGGUGCAAGCGUUAAUCGGAAUUACUGGGCGUAAAGCGUCUGUAGGCGGCUUAUUAAGUCGGAUGUGAAAUCCCAGGGCUUAACCUUGGAACUGCAUUCGAUACUGGUAAGCUAGAGUGUGUAAGAGGAUAGUGGAAUUCCAGGUGUAGCGGUGAAAUGCGUAGAUAUCUGGAGGAAUACCGAUGGCGAAGGCAGCCAUCUGGCCUAAUACUGACGCUGAGGUACGAAAGCAUGGGGAGCAAACAGGAUUAGAUACCCUGGUAGCGAGUAG
rnacentral:rRNA from 1 species